rnacentral:misc_RNA from 1 species
AAGUCGUAACAAGGUUUCCGUAGGUGAACCUGCGGAAGGAUCAUUAACACGUAUCCAAACGUUAAAACCCCCCCCGUGAACCUUCAUCCUGCUCUUGUAACCCGCGUAGUUCGCAAUCUCUGAUAAAUCAUAGCCCGGAAAGUUGUAGUGAUUCAGAGACCUCUGGCUGUUUCCCCAAGCAGUCAGUGUCGGAAAGUGUCAUUGAUUGUGCAAGGAUAGCGCUUCUACGAUUCCUGUAGACCGUACACUCGGGCAGGAGCUUUGCCAAAGGGUCCCCAUGCCCCCUAAUAACCCCACAGUUUAAUGUGAAGCUAUGUAAUACAUUGGGUAAAAAAACCGAACAACUGUUAACAAUGGAUAUCUUGGUUCUC